ensembl:lncRNA
GCGGUGGCGGUGGUGGUGGCGGUGGUGCCGUUGAUGGAGGUGGUGCUCGACCACAGCCUAGCAAGGAACUGAUCUUCAAGAACACGCCCCCUGAGGUUUUGCCGCCCAUUUCCUCCUCUGGUGACUCCGCCUACUCUCAGACGCCGGUGACUUCGUCGUCGCAUAUGGCCAACGGCACCGGGUCCUUCUCCACCACAGGCGCGCCUCAGGGUCUCCACAAGGCCAGUUACCGGGACCCCCAGACCGUGGUCGGGUACUUUGAUGCCCAGUUCCCCGGGGACGUCCGGCGCUUUCAUGCGACCGCUGCGUGGCACCGGUGGGCGGGGUCUCGUGGCGCUUGGCUACCCCCAACCCCAGAGAGGGUAUCCACCGCUGGGCUUCCAGAACAAGACCACCCCAGUGGGAAGCAUGCAACGGGCCCAAACACCGCAAUGGACGCUCUCCCACGACCAGGAGCAUUUCCUGAUCCAUCCUCCCGACGUAGGCGAGGACGUCUUCCCCCAAGACGGCCGCAGGUGGACGGGAGAGGUGCAGCUCCGGCGCUCGGGCUCCCACCCGGUCCUGCCACCCAUAGGUGACGACGGGCGGUCGGGUGGGGGGGGGGAGCCCCAGCCACGCUCCGGGUCCGUCAGCCCCCUGAGGAGGAGCUCCGAGCCCCCCUGCCCCAGCGGCUACCUGGCACAGAUGGAGAGGCAGAGGCAGCUCAAGGAGAGAGUCGCCUACAAGGUCUAUACACUAAAGGACUACAGGCAGCUGAGGCAGGUGGUGAACCUGUGCGGCCUGGGUCCUGAUAAGGCCAAUGAGAAGACAGCAGAGAGAACGAGACGACAGAGGCUGUAUUCAAAUGUGAUCCGGGAGCGGAACAAAAAGACGAGCACGGCCCACGUCCUCCCGCCCCGGGACCCGGAAGACCCGGACAAGACGGUUCCCAGGAGGAAGGCAUUGGAAUAUGCCAAGAGUAUCGCCAAGCCCCACCCAAAGCCCCGACCUAAAAAGCACCAGGACCAUUCAGGGGGUGGCCUGCACUGUGACGCCCACCUGGAAGGCCUGGAGCUGGCCCAGCUGGAAGCGCUGGAAGACAUGAGGAGACGCCACGAGGAGGAGAAGCGGGCCGUGGCCGCCUUCCAGAAGGGGCGCUUGGUCUGAGGUGCGCCUGACUGUCCUGCCGGUCCAAAACAGAACCACGACUCAGAGGAAGAGACGUCCACAUCACAUGACUGUUUACCACCCCGUGCAGGUGUAAUAAAUACAGCUGCAUCACGCCUAGUGCACUGUCAACAACAACAACAACAACAACAACAACAACAACAACAACAACAACAACCACCAUCACAACAAAAACCAUGAGAAGCAGAAGGAUGCCCAGCAGAAUGAUUAGUACAGACAGAUGAGUCCUUUUACUUGUGAAGGCACAAAUGCUGGCUGACACAGGAGUUAAGUCUUCGGCAAAUGAUUACGGAGCAAAUGUGUGAAAGCGUUCGCGAUCAGCGACACAUCUAAGUCUGUUUCGGCUGACUCCUGUCAUAGAAACACGGUUUGGUUACAUACAUUUUCCAUACAAAAGUUUUGCAUAGUAUACUUUUGAUUAGUACAUACUAUAUACUUGUACUGUACAUUCAACUGUAUAAUGGAACAUGUGGCCGUGGUUAUACUUAUCUGCAAGUAUCGAAUCAUCAUCAAUCAUCAACAAACAUCACCCCGACACACACACACCACCGGAUUCUGUGUUGAUGCUGAAACAUUCAUAAUGAAAAACGCUUCACACUCGAGUGUUUAUCCUGCAAAAUCACGGACGUUGUUGACAUUUCGAAGACCCCCCCUCUGGCUCCAAAGCUUUUGAGAAUGCUGCACCUAUUUUUGGUACAAGUACAGAUUUUUUUACAGUUAUUUAUUUAUGAAAAAGGUAAAUAAUCCUAGGUGGAUUAAUAAUAGUUAAUAGAUAAUAAGCCUUGCCUGAUAGACCUCCAUGAUGCACAGCCACUGUCGGCUGGGGUGAGUGACCUCACCCCAGCCUGACCGGGAGAGAAACAGAGAAACGGUUUCUCUUCUAUACACUGAUAAUGAGAUAUCAGGUGACAUGUAGAAGCGCACGUGAUCGGUUCUCCCAGGGAACAACUUUAUAGAUAAAUACUUCAAAAUGAACAGGCCCCCCCACCAGCCCCCACGAUAUACACUCGCCCCGAACGUUCACCGUUCAACGUGCGAGUCUCAAGCACCGCAUUUCGCUAAUAGAACCCCUCAGAUCAUUAUCAAAGCACUAUUUGGCUCUCUGCAAUAUUUUAAUUAGUUUAUAGUCUCUAUUUAACCCAUCAGGGGCUCUUUGAAGCCCUCUGUUUUAGUGUUUAAGUCCACUGAUGAGCAAAGUGUAAAUGAACACACACAAGCCCACCACCCACCACCCCUCGGUGUGUUUUUUUCCAACGCUGUCUACCCAGACCCUGUCUCGCUUGCAUCUCCUUUCUCCCUUUAGUCCCUCCUCCUUAUGUUUUUUGCCCAUUGAAAUCCAGUUAAUUGAAGGGGUCUUUCACCACCACACAUGAAGAGGGCCUGAAUUAGCAUCCCUUUCUGCCCAUUGGAAAAGCUCACAUGUGGACGUUCCACGCUUUGAUGUGAGAAGCACGCUUUUCUCUGCGCAAGGCGGCAGGCUUCCUGAAAUGGGCCUGAAAUGAGCUGAUGAGCCCGCUGUUAGGGCCCAAAUGUAGAUGCGUCCAUGUGUUGCAAAACGCUUAAUCUUUUAAUUGAUCACCUUCCGCAUGGCCUAUUCUCUGUGCCGCCCCCCCCACCCCUACUCUUUUACGUUAAUCAGAAUCACAUUUUGAAAAUGACCUGAAUUGCUUUUCAAAGGGACAUGGG